UAAAUUUACCACUUAACCUUAGUGGACCACAGGAGACCAAUAAGAGAUCCAUGUAUGAGGACCACACAUCACCCAGAGAACCAGAACUGGAUAAAAUCAUGGCUUGUCUCUUUGAGGGAAAGAGGUUGAUUGGGUUUGGUGUGGAGGGUGGAUAUUUUUGAAGGCAUGUUUAUGGAGAUAGAGAAGUUACUGGAAAGAGACCUCUCUUCCCCUGGAUGGCAUCGUGUGAAGACAUGUGACUUGCAGUCACUGUGGACAUUUGUGACCACAAAGACCCAUGAAACUGGAUGAUGAAGCCAAAUCUAAUACCACAGAAGGCAGAGCAAGGAGAGGGGGAGAGGCUGGCCUUGGUGACAUUGUUUGAAUCUAGUCUUCUCUGAAUCAGUCCCACCUUAGCCCUUCUCAAUCAUGAUUAUGGCAUCCAGCUGCAUCCAUGUCACUGCAAAGGAUAUGAUUUCAUCGGAAAGAAAGUAUUUGA
ensembl:lncRNA novel transcript